rnacentral:lncRNA from 1 species
CUGCAGCCGCCGCGGCCCGGGCGGGGCCGGGGGGGGGGGUGGGUUCGCUGGUUUGGAGGGGGGGUGGGGUUGGCUGUUUCUGGAAAGCUCAGCAGAGCUAAUCUAAUCUUCCAAGGCGCGUCCGCUGCCCGAGAGCAGCGCUCACAGUCCGCAGCGCCGGGAGGGCUCCGCGGCCUCCCCCUCCCGGCUCAGUAGAUCCAGAUCGUGUGAGUCUCUUUUAUUCCCGUUUUGCACGUGAGGCCACGGAGGCCGGGAUAGACCAGGAUCGCACACGUCUUGGGGGCCUACUCCGGACUCAAACCUACGUCUCUGUGACUCCAAAACUCAUAUUAUACUAUGACCUAGUAUUUGCUGGUGUAAGACGAAUGGUUCCGUUUUAGCGCAGAUGCAAGCGCCACCUUAUUUGGAGGACAGGCAGGUAGAUCUGCAGGAACUGCCAGUUAAAAAGAAUACUACCUAUUUUAUUGAGCCUGAAGGGUUGAGGACAUCACAGACCAGAGACUUUGACCAGCCAGAAAAAGAGAGAUGACAGCAACUGAGAUGAAAGGGUCCUGAAAUCACAUCACAUCCCUGCGCCCAACUCUGCGGAGCGAGACCCUGUCAAGGCUCCGGGUCUCCUGGCGACCUCUCAAACCUCAUUUCCCACCCGCGCCCCCUGACUGUCUGCCCUCCAGCGUCCCCGACCUCCUUU